rnacentral:rRNA from 1 species
UGGGGAAUAUUGCACAAUGGGCGCAAGCCUGAUGCAGCGACGCCGCGUGAGGGAUGGAGGCCUUCGGGUUGUAAACCUCUUUUAUCGGGGAGCAAGCGAGAGUGAGUUUACCCGUUGAAUAAGCUCCGGCUAAAUACGUGCCAGCAGCCGCGGUAAUACGUAUGGAGCAAGCGUUAUCCGGAUUUACUGGGUGUAAAGGGAGUGUAGGUGGCCAGGCAAGUCAGAAGUGAAAGCCCGGGGCUCAACCCCGGGACUGCUUUUGAAACUGCAGGGCUAGAGUGCAGGAGGGGCAAGUGGAAUUCCUAGUGUAGCGGUGAAAUGCGUAGAUAUUAGGAGGAACACCAGUGGCGAAGGCGGCCUACUGGGCACCAACUGACGCUGAGGCUCGAAAGUGUGGGUAGCAAACAGGAUUAGAUACCCUGGUAGUCCACACCGUAAACGAUGAUUACUAGGUGUUGGGAGAUUGACCCUCUCAGUGCCGCAGUUAACACAAUAAGUAAUCCACCUGGGGAGUACGACCGCAAGGUUGAAACUCAAAGGAAUUGACGGGGGCCCGCACAAGCGGUGGAGUAUGUGGUUUAAUUCGACGCAACGCGAAGAGCCUUACCAGGGCUUGACAUUGAGUGAAAGGACUAGAGAUAGUCCCCUCUCUUCGGAGACACGAAAACAGGUGGUGCAUGGCUGUCGUCAGCUCGUGUCGUGAGAUGUUGGGUUAAGUCCCGCAACGAGCGCAACCCCUAUCCUUUGUUGCCAGCACGCAAUGGUGGGAACUCAAAGGAGACUGCCGCGGACAACGCGGAGGAAGGCGGGGAUGACGUCAAGUCAUCAUGCCCCUUAUGUCCUGGGCUACACACGUACUACAAUGGGAUGGACAGAGAGCAGCGAAGCCGCGAGGCCAAGCGAACCCCAUAAACCAUCUCCCAGUUCGGAUUGCAGGCUGCAACCCGCCUGCAUGAAGUUGGAAUCGCUAGUAAUCGCAGGUCAGCAUACUGCGGUGAAUACGUUCCC